GACGGGGGGGGCAAGUGUUCUUCGGAAUGACUGGGCGUAAAGGGCACGUAGGCGGUGAAUCGGGUUGAAAGUGAAAGUCGCCAAAAAGUGGCGGAAUGCUCUCGAAACCAAUUCACUUGAGUGAGACAGAGGAGAGUGGAAUUUCGUGUGUAGGGGUGGAAAUCGUAGAUCUACGAAGGAACGCCAAAAGCGAAGGCAGCUCUCUGGGUCCCUACCGACG
rnacentral:rRNA from 1 species